rnacentral:rRNA from 1 species
GCACACGGGUGAGUAACGCGUGUGAACGUACCCUUUUCUACGGAAUAACGCAUGGAAACGUGUGCUAAUACCGUAUGUGCCCUUCGGGGGAAAGAUUUAUCGGAAAAGGAUCGGCCCGCGUUGGAUUAGCUAGUUGGUGGGGUAAAGGCCUACCAAGGCGACGAUCCAUAGCUGGUCUGAGAGGAUGAUCAGCCACAUUGGGACUGAGACACGGCCCAAACUCCUACGGGAGGCAGCAGUGGGGAAUAUUGGACAAUGGGCGCAAGCCUGAUCCAGCCAUGCCGCGUGAGUGAUGAAGGCCCUAGGGUUGUAAAGCUCUUUCACCGGUGAAGAUAAUGACGGUAACCGGAGAAGAAGCCCCGGCUAACUUCGUGCCCCAGCCGCGGUAAUACGAAGGGGGCUAGCGUUGUUCGGAUUUACUGGGCGUAAAGCGCACGUAGGCGGAUCGAUCAUUCAGGGGUGAAAUCCCAGAGCUCAACUCUGGAACUGCCUUUGAUACUGUCGAUCUGGAGUAUGGAAGAGGUGAGUGGAAUUCCGAGUGUGAGGUGAAAUUCGUAGAUAUUCGGAGGAACACCAGUGGCGAAGGCGGCUCACUGGUCCAUUACUGACGCUGAGGUGCGAAAGCGUGGGGAGCAAACAGGAUUAUUAUACCCUGGUAGUCCACGCC